AACGAACGCUGGCGGCAUGCCUAACACAUGCAAGUCGAACGAGAUCUUCGGGUCUAGUGGCGCACGGGUGCGUAACGCGUGGGAAUCUGCCCUGUGGUUCGGAAUAACAGUUGGAAACAACUGCUAAUACCGGAUGAUGACGAAAGUCCAAAGAUUUAUCGCCAGAGGAUGAGCCCGCGUAGGAUUAGCUAGUGGGUGUGGUAAAGGCGCACCAAGGCGACGAUCCUUAGCUGGUCUGAGAGGAUGAUCAGCCACACUGGGACUGAGACACGGCCCAGACUCCUACGGGAGGCAGCAGUGGGGAAUAUUGGACAAUGGGCGAAAGCCUGAUCCAGCAAUGCCGCGUGAGUGAUGAAGGCCUUAGGGUUGUAAAGCUCUUUUACCCGGGAUGAUAAUGACAGUACCGGAAGAAUAAGCUCCGGCUAACUCCGUGCCAGCAGCCGCCGUAA
rnacentral:rRNA from 1 species